UACAGAGGGUGCAAGCGUUGUUCGGAAUUAUUGGGCGUAAAGCGCGUGUAGGCGGCUUGUUAUGUCGGGUGUGAAAGCCCUCAGCUUAACUGAGGAAGUGCGCCCGAAACUGGCAAGCUUGAGUGUCGGAGAGGAUAGCGGAACACCCGGUGUAGAGGUGAAAUUCGUAGAUAUCGGGUAGAACACCAGUGGCGAAGGCGGCUAUCUGGACGACAACUGACGCUGAGACGCGAAAGCGUGGGGAGCAAACAGG
rnacentral:rRNA from 1 species